rnacentral:lncRNA from 10 species
UUAGCCUCAUUGAUUCGGAUGCCUUAUGGCUGUGGUGAACAGAACAUGAUAAAUUUUGCUCCAAAUAUUUACAUUUUGGAUUAUCUGACUAAAAAGAAACAACUGACAGAUAAUUUGAAAGAAAAAGCUCUUUCAUUUAUGAGGCAAGGUUACCAGAGAGAACUUCUCUAUCAGAGGGAAGAUGGCUCUUUCAGUGCUUUUGGGAAUUAUGACCCUUCUGGGAGCACUUGCAGGGGGCUCUGCAGCUGCCAACGUGUCCACGUCUCCAAAAGGAGGCUCCAGGUUUGCCACAGCCCGGAAAGAGGAGGCUGGAGUCUAUAGCACUGGCAAUUAGAGACUUC